rnacentral:rRNA from 1 species
UACGGGGGGAGCAAGCGUUGUUCGGAUUUACUGGGCGUAAAGGGCGCGUAGGCGGCCAGCGCAAGUCAGUUGUGAAAUCUCCGGGCUUAACUCGGAAAGGUCAACUGAUACUGCGCGGCUAGAGUGCAGAAGGGGCAACUGGAAUUCUCGGUGUAGCGGUGAAAUGCGUAGAUAUCGAGAGGAACACCUGCGGCGAAGGCGGGUUGCUGGGCUGACACUGACGCUGAGGCGCGAAAGCUAGGGGAGCAAACAGG